AUACGGGAGGCAGCCUGAUCCAGCCAUGCCGCGUGAGUGAAGAAGGCCUUCGGGUUGUAAAGCUCUUUCGGCCGGGAAAAAAUCGCAUGGGCUAAUACCCUGUGUGGAUGAUGGUACCGGAAUAAGAAGCACCGGCUAACUACGUGCCAGCAGCCGCGGUAAUACGUAGGGUGCGAGCGUUAAUCGGAAUUACUGGGCGUAAAGCGUGCGCAGGCGGUUUUGUAAGACAGGCGUGAAAUCCCCGGGCUCAACCUGGGAACUGCGUUUGUGACUGCAAGGCUAGAGUACGGCAGAGGGGGGUGGAAUUCCACGUGUAGCAGUGAAAUGCGUAGAGAUGUGGAGGAACACCAAUGGCGAAGGCAGCCCCCUGGGUCGAUACUGACGCUCAUGCACGAAAGCGUGGGUAGCAAACAGGAUUAGAUACCCCCGUAGUCCC
rnacentral:rRNA from 1 species